rnacentral:lncRNA from 1 species
UAUGUGUGUGCGCGUAGAUUGAGAGGGAGAAAGAGGGGCAAAGACCUUCAUCUUAUAAACACAAAAAAAUUCAGCAAUUAGGAAGGAAAUUGGUGAUCAAUCUUAUGCAUGAAGAUCAUCUCUUAACCAUCAAAGUUUGAUAAUCAUAAGGUGUGAAAGAACAAGGAUCAAUCAAAAAGAGGUCACAAAGUUCAAACGAUCGAGGUAAAUCAUCGUGUUAGAUGGCACCAAGCUUGGAACGAACACAUCACUCGCAUAUCACGUUUCCGGGUUUCAUGUUCAAACGGGUCAAAAACAUUUUGUACUUAUGUUUAAGUUUAGUCGUACAUUUUAACUAA